rnacentral:lncRNA from 1 species
GCCUUGUCAGCCCUUUUGUCGAUCCCAGUCUUAAGCGUGUUUGGUGGCAAGCUCAUCAAGCAAUUGACGAUCAGUAGAGCUGCAGCAACAAGGCCUUUGGAAAGCGCAACGUCACUGUACCACAUUGUCAGGUGGGUUCCUUUUGUUGGAAUCAGAAACACCUCGAUCCGUCGUAUGUUCUCUGAUGUUUUGACUUCAAAGACACUUCUUCAACUUAGUGUGGUGAAGUAACAUGAAUUUGGGC